CAUAGUUUGGUGAGCAGAGUACAAGAUUGAUUUCAGCCUUACUCACCUUCCUGGCCAGUGUCCCUUUUAGAGAGUACUGCCCAAACAACCAUAUGCAGGGGCCAAUAAAUAUUAGAUGGUAAAUACAGUGACAGAAUAGUAUUCUAAAAAAGGUGGACUGAAGAUAGGUGUAUAGGUUUUGCUUUCCUUCAUUUGGAAAUUUGAACAGUAUGCAGAAUAAAUGAGACAUAUGGUUUCUAUAACGGAGAACCAAUUAUAAUUAAGUCAUAUUUCUUUUUUUUUUUUUUUUUUGUCUUUUGUCUAGGGCCGCUCCUGAGGCAUAUGGAGGUUCCCAGGCCAGGGGUUGAAUUGGAGCAGUAGCCACUGGCCUACUCCAACACUGGAUCCAAGCUGUGUCUGGAACCUACACUACAGGUCCCAGCAACACCAGAUCCUUCAUCCCCUGAGCAAAGCCAGGGAUAGAACCCGCAACCUCAUGAUUCCUAGUUGGAUUCCUUUCCACUGCACCACGACAGGAACUCCUAUUUGAAAGCUUUUGAACAUGACCAGAUCUAUAAUUUUUAAUAAAUGAUCGGUCUCAUAUAUGUAAAAAUGGAUCAUUUGAGUCAGGAAAAAUAAGUAUGGUAUUUAGAAGAAUAUUCUUGUGUGGGAUCUUAGAGGAACAUGAGAUAAAAGCGAAGAUAAUGAAGAUGAAGGCUUGGCAUGACACAGGAACUGUUCAGAUGAAAGAAAAAAAUGGAGAAGAAAGAGUUAAGGAGGACUCUGAAACUUUGUACCUGAGUAAACAGAAAAAUGAUUUUGUGUUGAAUAUGUUGGGUAAAUCUAAAAGAUACCUUCUUUGAAUUCAGGGAAUUUAUAAUUUUUAUAAUUUGUUUUUCUUAAGAACAAGGGCAAAAUAUCUAUAAUGUAAAGCAAGUUUUUCUUUAUAUUUACAGUGGAUUUGUAGCUCCUUUGCAACUUUUUAAGUUAAUUUUAAUUCCAGUUUAUUUAUUAAGCUUCAAGACAUUUUAUGUGGUCAUAUAUUUAUUACAUAUUCCCAUUCUAUUUUAAGAUAAUUUAAUUAGAUUUGAUUUCUGGCUGUAAGUGAACUCAUGCAUUAAAUCAAGAAUAAGUAAAGACAUAAUACUGAGUUAAAACCCUAUAAUGUUGAUAUUUGAAUACCUGUCUUUUUCAGAUAUCUUGUAUAUAUAUUUUCCUUUUAACCCUGCCCUGGAAAUUAUGAUAUACUUUUUAACUUUUUAUUUUGAGAUAAUAUUAGACCUACAGAAAUGUUACAAAAUAGUACAUAGAGUUUCCAUAUAUUCUUUUUUAUGUGACUUUAAUGAUUUUUAUUUUUUCCAUUAUAGUUGGUUUACAGUGCUCUGUCAAUUUUCUACUGUACAGCAAAGUGACUCAUUCACACAUACAUACUCAGACACAUACACACACACACAUAUAUACAUUCUUUUUCUGAUAUUAUCCUCCAUCAUGUUCCAUCACAAGUGACUAGAUAUAGUUCCCAGUGCUACAGGAUCUCAUUGCUUAUCCAAGUUUCCAUAUAUUCUUGACUCUGCUUCCCCCAACAUUAACCUUCUGUAACCAUAGUCCUAUUAUCAAAACCAAGAAACUAACAUUGAUCGCUGACUGAUUUUAAUACUAUUAGUCUCUCAAUAAUUUUUAUAAAAAAUUAAAAUGUAUAUAGAAAGAGUAUUAUAGCUUAUUAUUUAUAUGUUCUGAAUUCUCUUUUAAGCUUUUAAUCCAUGGGCAGUAAUGUGAUGGGCUACAUACAAUGUUAGCCAAAGCUAUGAAUACAACCUACUGUAAAUGAUGCUAGCAGUCUAUUAUGGCAUCUUUUAUGCUAUUUAUUUAGGGUUCCAACAAACAACUUUGACCAUUUUACCUGAUAUAAGUGUUUGCAAAUAAUAGAAGUUUGCAAAAAACAAAAAAUGAAAAGUUUGAAAAAAGGGAAAAUGAUAGUAUUGCUGGCUGUAAAAUGUUAAGUUUAGUAGUGGCUGGGAACACCAUCAAGAAGAUGGUUAAGACAGGGAAACAGAUCAGAGGGCAAUUAAGGACCGAUGGAAAUUAUCUGACAUUAUUAAGGGCAUUAUUCAUAUCCCUGGAGCCUAGGAGGAGUGGCCAACAAUCUGCAAGGAAAAGGAAAUGAGAUUUAUGCUUGGUGAGGAUUUUUAUAUCCCUCUAAUAGAAUUUUCUGAGGGGCUGAAUUUUUGGCUUGGAAUCAAGCUAUUCCAGUGGGACCUCCAGCCUUGUUUCACCACCCACCCUUGUUAAAUACCCUCAUCCAUCCAAUUGCUCAAGCCAAAGAUCCAGAAGUCAUUCUUGACCCUCUUUCUAUAAUUUCCCAAGUCUGAUUCAUCGACAAGUACUACUACUUUUACCUCAUAGACAUAGUCUUAAAUCAUCUUAUUCAGUUCAUCUCCAUUGCUGCCACCCCAGAAUGUGGCUUUCUCCUCUCAUACCAGAGCAAUUGCACUAGCACCCCAACUGUUUUCUUGAAAUUUAUUCUUAUCCCUCUCUAACCUUUUCCCCAUAAAUAAGCUGGGUUUAUAUUUUUUAAAUCAUAAAUUCCGUCAUGUCAGUAAUGGAAUAUUACUCAAUGCUAAAACUAAGUGAGCUAUCAAGUCAUGAAAAGACUUGAAUGUAUAUUAUUAAGUAAAAGAAGCCAAUCUGAAAAAGGGUUACAUACUAUAUGAUUUCAACUUUAUGGCAUUCUGGAGAAGAUUAAACUAUGGAAACAAUAAAAAGAUCGGUAGUUGCCAGGGGCUAGUGAUGACUAGGCAGAGCACAGAGAAUUUUAGAGUGGUGGAGCUAUUCUAUAUUUUAAUACUAUGGUAUGUGUGAAGACAUGUAUUCACUAUCAUAGUAUCAUACAUGCACCAUAUAUGUAUCAUAUAAUAUAUGGUAUGAAACAAUAAUGGUUGAUAGAUGUUAUUAUACAUUUGCCGAAACCCAGAGAUUGCUCAAUGCAAAGAAUGAAUCCUAAUGCACUUGGGUGAUAAUAAUGUGUCGGUGUAAGCCCAUCAUUUGUAGGAAAUGUUCCAUUCUGAUGAGAGAUAUUGAUAAUGAGGGAGGCUAUGACUGUAGGGGAAGGGAGUACUGGGAAAUCUUGGUACCCUUCACUCAGUUUUGUUGUGAACCUAUAGAUGCACUAAAACACAAAGUUUAUGUUCUUAAAUGUCCUAGAGGCAUUGCAUAACUGACUGCUGCCUAUCCAUCUAAACUCAUUUCUGCUACAGCUAAGAUUCCAUGGCCAAGGGAGAAAAAGGGAAAACCUUCUGUCCUUCUCCAUCUAGGCCUUGCAUUGCUCCUCCAGCAUCUUUCUAAGGGCAGUUUCUAAAACACAAUAUCAAAGUUGCAAUAGGCAGAAGUUAGGAUAUAAGGAAGUUCUCCUUUGACUAUUUUCUUCAGCUGGCUUCCCACUAUCUUAGGGUAGGUAGUCAGUUUAAUCUCUUAGGGUGCUUUUGGAUGCACAUUAGAGGUCCCCACUGAGAACAGUCAAAUACACUUCCUGUGCAUUGGGGAAUAGGUUUUUUUUUUAGCUGCACUACUGUCAGCUUGCAUGUUGGGGGCAUCUAUUCCACACACUCUCAUGCCCUCCACAAUCCUCCCAAGGGCUCCUUUAGACAGCUCCUCUUCAUGCUGGAGUUAUAUAGUCCCAUGGUUCAUACUCAUACAUUCUUUGUAGUAACGAACUCUGGACAUUCAAGCAAAUAUCAACCUUGUGGGGAGUGCUCCUUAAAUCUGAUGCUAAAGCAGAUAGCUCAUCCGCGUGUGUCAUUGGUCACUGUCCAGUCAGGAGUCAAAGUCAAGGUGUGCCUACAGAAACUGCUUCACUAAAAUUGACUGGAGGGGAAGAUUUGCAUUCCUCAGAGAAAUCUUCUUCAGAAAACCCUCUCACAACUCCUCGUUCCAAGCCUUAUUUAUAGUUUCGGUGUGUUCAGGGAUAUUCUUACAAGGAGGUCUGUCUCAAAACUUACUUACUGAUCUGCUGUCUCAUAGGCAGUUACCUUAGUAAAGAACUUUUAAUGUAGUGUGUUGAUAUUUACAUAAAAUUUAUAAGGUCUUAUAUAAAGUGACAGUUUUAACUCUCUCACUUUUAAUUUGCUUUAUCAGAUUGGACAUUUAAAAGGCAUUUCAGUAUAUAAAAAGAAGUCUAGAUCACUCAUAUCAAAACACUUUUAAUGGAAACCAAAAUAUUGAAUGCAUUUAUAAAAGUGCACUCUCGACAUUAAGUGAAAAAUCCUACAUGCACAUGUAUUAAGCAUUCCUCGUAGCCUUAUUUUCAUCUUUCACAUGGUUAAAUAUAAAUCUCCAGGAAGGGGUGAAUCUAGAUAUUAUUCUUUUAAGAGACGAAAGAUAUUUGUUUGGUGAUAAAUUCACUAAGGGAAGCCCCAAUUAAAAAUGUCAACUACAGCACUUCCAUGGUAAUUUUAAAGCAUGUUGCUAUUAAUCAUGUGUUUUAAUAUCUAGAAUUCACAGUGCUGUAAUGAUUUGUCUUUAAGGAGCUAAAAAAGUACAAUAAAACUUGUGAUUAAAUAUCUCAGUCAGCAGAAACACCUUGUAAUUUAGCUUAAUAGUAGUGUUUUAUUAAUUUCAAAGUUGUGGUUUUGGUUUUAGCUUACUAAUAUUGAUUCCAACAGCUUAUCCAAUCUUUAGAGCUCCUUUUUUUUGGGGGGCUGCACUCACAGCACAUGGAGGUUCCCAGGCUAGGGGUCUAAUUGGAGCAGUACCCUCUGGCCUAUGCCACAGACACAGCAACACAGGAUUCAAGCCAUGUCUGCUGACCUACACUGCAGCUCAUGGCAACACCAGAUCCUUUGCCCACCAAGCGAGGUCAGGGAUUGAACCUGUACCCUCAUGGAUACUAGUCAGAUUUGUUUCCCUUGAGCCACAACAGAACUCCCCCCUUUUGGUUUUAAAGAACAUAUUUUUAUCUUCCCAAAGGAGAGCUAAUCAGUUAACUUAAAAAAAUCUUAAAACUUAAAUGAUAUUUUAUUUGAAUAUUCUUACUCUUCACUAAAAAUAAUGUUUGUAUUUCUAAUAUAAAGAAGUAAUCUAUAAACGUAUACUAUUCAACAGUUUUUAAUAAACUCAAAAUACCUUAUUCAAUCCUUUUAAUGCAUUGUGAUGCCCUUAAACUAUUCAGUUGGAUAUUUAAACAGCUGAUACAAUUAAAUGAAACAAUCUCAUUGAUGAAUUUGUUUUACUAUGUGAAUAGUCAAACUCAUAGGAUAAAACUGUUCUUAUAGGGAACGUUACCUAUCUUUGCUUCCAAAAGCAAGUACCUCACCUGUUAGCUGAAGCAAACCAAGUUAGCAUUUGCUUUCAGGAAGAUACUUGUUCCAGUAGUUCCAGGGAACAAAAGCCAUAAACUCAUAUCCAAAGUAUGCAAUUUUCAGUUGAGAAAAUUCAGGAGACCUGAAUUAUUCCCCAAAUAAUCAUAUAGGAUUGCAUUUGAUAUUGUUAACAACUGCUGCUUCAUACAUUGGGUUAUAACCAAAGUUCCCAGAAUUUUUGGAGGUUAAAAAAAUUUCACAGAGUGUUUCAUUCCUGAGAGAUCCUAUCUAUCCUAUCCUAUCUAUCUAUAUCUAUCCUAUCUAUCCUAUCCUAUACUAUCCUAUCCUUUCUACUGCCCUGGAAAUAAGAUAAAAACUCUUCACCAUGGCCUGUAAGUCCUUGAGCAGUGAGUUUCUUGCUCUUCCAUCCCAGCUGGCCCCAGAUCCUUCCUCCCUUGAUCUCUGGCUAUACUAUUGCAGUGCUGGGCUCCACUUACUGUUUCCAGUAUGCUGAGUAUCUUUCUGCCUUGAGUUCUUCGCAUGCUAGUGGAGAAACCAAAUGCUCUUCUUCCCAUGGCUAGGUCAUUCUCAUUUUCUAAUUCCCAUUCCACACAUUGCCUCUGGAGACCUUUCCUCUUGGCCUUCCUGACUACCUUUGCUAUGUAGGAACUUUCUCCUCCUCAUUCCAUUAUUUUUCAUCAUAGUAUGUAAUCACUCUUUAAAAAUUUGUAAUUACAUGUUUAGCAUCUGGAACAUUGCUAAAUAGCCAUGCUGCAAUAUUUGUUGAAUGGAUAAAUGACCUUGAAACCUGGGAAGGCACAAAGGCAAUGAAAAAAAGUUAGUCGAAUGAAUGAAUGGAUUUAGGACUAACGGACUACUUGAUACAAAAUGUUGUCACUAUCCAUUGGACCUUAUGAGUUAUUUCAGAAAAUGUUUUUUGAGAGUAUGCCUCUAUUAAAUGGGAAUCACAUCCCAAAAGAACAGUUGCCAGUUUAUUACAAGUUUUCAGGGCAUAUCAUAUUAAUCUUUCAAAUUGUUAUAUAACUUUUUGGGGUCUGAAUCUAUGGAAGAAAUAACACUCUCUAGAAAUACUGUCAGGUGCCAACAUUUAAUCAGCUUUUUUGGCAAGUAAAAUAUAGGCUUAUAUGUCAAUGUUUUUUCCAUUUUCAAAACAACAUAUCACAGUCAAAUAUAUACAAUUGUAGUGGCUUUUAAUAGCAAGUACUAUAAUACUCCAAAUACCUCAAUUGUAUUUUUCAAAUUAGGUAGAAAUUCAAAAGUGUGAGCCAGUGCACUGGCUCCUAGCAAUAGAUUUGAACUUGAGGCUUUACUAUGAAGAAUAGUAUCAACUUAGAUAUAUAUUUUUUCCUAAAACCAUAAUGACACGUAUUUUCUUUGAUUAGAGAACUAUACAGCUUAUAUAUUGGGUUUCACCUACAGUCCAGAUCUACAAUGAAAGUAUAUGAAGUUUUUAUUGUUCACUCAAGGCAUAUUAUAUUUGCUAUAGGCCUAUGAUUUUGUGACACAUGAAAUAUUAUGUAUAAAGUUUUGGUAUUAAAAAUAUUUUAAAUUGUGACUUUUGGAAAUUUAUUAAUUCAAGCUCAUUAAUUUUAUCAAAAUGUAAUUUAUCCAAUGGAAAAGUAAUGCUAAAUUAUACUUGGUAAAUUUGGUAAAUAAGAUUGGUAAAAAAGAUUUCUUUAAGAUCUCUUCAAUAUAUAGUGCCAUUUGACAUAUGGAAAUUGAGCUUCCAUGAACAAAUUUUAAUAGAAAAA
rnacentral:lncRNA from 1 species